rnacentral:rRNA from 1 species
GUGCCAGCAGCUGCGGUAACACGUAGGGGGCGAGCGUUGUUCGGAAUCAUUGGGCGUAAAGGGCGCGGCAGGCGGCGAGGCAAGUCCGGUGUGAAAGUGCUCGGCUCAACCGAGUGAUGCGCUGGAAACUGCCCUGCUUGAGUACAGGAGGGGACGUCGGGAAUUCCAGGUGUAGGGGUGAAAUCUGUAGAUAUCUGGAAGAACACCGGUGGCGAAGGCGGACGUCUGGCCAUGUACUGACGCUGAGGCGCGAAGGUGCGGGGAGCGAACAGGUUUAGAUACCCUGGUAGUCCGCACAGUAAACGAUGUGCACCAGGUGGCGGGGGUAGCCCUCGGUACCGAAGCCAACGCAUUAAGUGCACCGCCUGGGGAGUAUGCUCGCAAGGGUGAAACUCAAAGGAAUUGACGGGGCCCGCACAAGCGGUGGAGCAUGUGGUUUAAUUCGAUGAUACGCGAGACCUUACAGGCUUGACAUGGGCGGAGGCGGGUGAAGUCCGCG